UACGUAGGGGCUAGCGUUGUCCGGAUUUAUUGGGCGUAAAGAGCGUGUAGGCGGCCAGGUAGGUCUGCUGUGAAAACUCGAGGCUCAACCUCGAGACGUCGGCGGAAACCAUCUGGCUAGAGUCCGGAAGAGGAGAGUGGAAGUUCCUGGUGUAGCGGUGAAAUGCGCAGAUAUCAGGAGGAACACCAAUAGCGAAGGCAGCUCGCUGGGACGUUACUGACACUGAGGCGCGAAAGCGUGGGGAGCGAACAGG
rnacentral:rRNA from 1 species